rnacentral:rRNA from 1 species
GAUGAGCCAAGAUUGGUACCCUUUUAAGGUACUAUUGAUUUUAAACUGAAGAGUUUGAUCAUGGCUCAGAUUGAACGCUGGCGGCAGGCUUAACACAUGCAAGUCGAGCGGGGAAAGGUAGCUUGCUACUGGACCUAGCGGCGG